rnacentral:rRNA from 1 species
GACGAACGCUGGCGGCGUGCUUAACACAUGCAAGUCGAACGGAAAGGCCCUGCAUUUGUGGGGUGCUCGAGUGGCGAACGGGUGAGUAACACGUGAGUAACCUGCCCUUGACUUUGGGAUAAAUUCAGGAAACUGGGGAUAAUACCGGAUAGGAGCUCCUGCUGCAUGGUGGGGGUUGGAAAGUUUCGGCGGUUGGGGUUGGACUCAGGGCUUAUCAGCAUGUUGGUGGGGUAGUGGUUUACCAAGGCUUUGACGGGUAGCCCGCCUUAGAGGGUGAACGGCCAACGUGGGGCAUCGGUCCCGCCCCUAAUCCUACGGGAGGCAGUAUGGGGGAAUAUUGCACAAUGGGCGGAAGCCUGAUGCAGCAACGCCGCGUGCGGGAUGACGGCCUUCGGGUUGUAAACCGCUUUCGCCUGUGACGAAGCGUGAGUGACGGUAAUGGGUAAAGAAGCACCGGCUAACUACGUG